ensembl:lncRNA
AUCUGGAGGGGCAAUGCCCCCUUUUGCACCGGGCCUGGUACAAAUACAAAUAGAAUACAAUAUAAACACAUUUCAACAAGCUUCAAUGUCUCUACCCAUACUGUCUAUUUGGCAGCAUGUUCAGUUCAGUUUGAUCCCUUAAAAAGUGAUAGAUUAUUUAUGUCCAAAUCUUCCGUUACAACAAACAUGUUACAAACCGUGUGUUUCACCGAAACUUUUGAGUUUGAAAUCUUCAAUGUAUCUGUCAUGUUCCUGUGAGUUUUUGGACACACUAUUAUUUGGUUGGAGAGUUCUGGCUGUUUUCCUUGUGUGUGUGUGUGUGUGUGUGUGUGCGUGCUUGGUAGGUGCAGGUGGGCGUGGCUGUGCAGAGUUUUUUCCCUCGUUUGGCGCAGCUGCUGUUGAUCAGCUCAUCAACCACCUGUAUAAGAACUUCCUGAUUCAGCCUGCGCCAGAUUGUUCUUCGUCCUCCCGUGUUGGAUACAUCGGACUUUGCACUGCCAACUCACUCACCCGCCAGCCCCACCACAGCCGAAGACAACUACUUCCUCGUGAAUCAUCAUCCCAGGACUGGGAUCGCUUUUUGCUGAGACUCUUUAUCUUUAUUUUUAUUUUCUUAUUUUUACUUCCGUUGUCUGAGUCUGUUUUUGAGUCCGCCAUUACAAAAACAUAACAGUAUCCUGUUCAGAUGAAGGGACAUCACGUUAUUAAAUGUAAAAUAUUUUGUUAAGUAUAAUCCAUUAUUGCUUCAUGCCUUUAUUCAGAGGUAAAUAAUGAUUAAAUCUGUUUUUAAAUUAUUUUAAAUUGUAUUUAGAAACCGCACAUGUAUUUCGAUAAUAUUAUACAUAUCAUCUAAAUACAUAAUAUCAUACAUAUUAUCAAAACUAUAUUUGACAAAAUGAAAAGUUUUCCUUGCUUAUAUAUUGGAAUGAUCACUGUUAAACCAUUAUUAACACCUUCCCAAUUGUGUAAUGGUUAGUGCAUUUGCCAUUAGAUCUGAACAUGGCGGGUUCAUGACUCUCUGUUGUAUUUAUUUUGUGUAAUGCACGCUCAUGUAUAUAAAAGGGUCACAUCAUAACAUGAUUCUGUUAAAUAUAUUUUGGCAUUCAUGGUAUGACAGAGUGGAUGUUUACAUAGUUGUGCAACAGCUAUUAAAGGACAGAGUGGAAAAACAAAGUUCAAAGAAUAUUUGGGAAGUCUGUAGGGGGAAGUGAACCAGAGGUCAAGAUUGUAGCCAAGAUUGAGCUAUGACUGGCUAGUCAGUUGGUAGCCUACUCCUGUCUGACAUUACUGCUGUUCCUCAAACCAUUGACACACGUUAGCCUACUGUAACCACACACAGAGAGUAUGUGUGUGUGAUAAGGUUGGGCGAUUGUGUAUAAUAACAUUGUCCGUUUGCGCCCCAUAGCAAUCCUCAAUAGUCCUCCUCAAAUUCUAGGCACACAUGAAUUCAGUAGCAGUUGUUUUGAUGUAUAUUUUAAUAAAUUAUUGUAACUUGUGUAAUUCGUUGAGAACAAAAUGACGUAAAAACGUUCAGUGGAAACCAAAAUCACCAACUGAUUGAGGACUGGAUUCAAACUCACAACAAAAAAUAAAGUAAACAAUUAAAAUCACAGACUGUUCCGACUUGCGUGUAUUUCAUCACCACAACCCAUAAUGUGACUCAGUAGUGUGUAUGGCCCCCACAUGCCUGUAUGUACUCCCAACAACGUCGGGGCAUGUUCCUGAGGUCACUGCGGAUGGUG